GGGUUGUGAGGUUAAGCGACUAAGCGUACACGGUGGAUGCCCUGGCAGUCAGAGGCGAUGAAGGACGUGCUAAUCUGCGAAAAGCGUCGGUAAGGUGAUAUGAACCGUUAUAACCGGCGAUGUCCGAAUGGGGAAACCCAGUGCAAUUCGUUGCACUAUCGUUAACUGAAUACAUAGGUUAACGAGGCGAACCGGGGGAACUGAAACAUCUAAGUACCCCGAGGAAAAGAAAUCAACCGAGAUUCCCCCAGUAGCGGCGAGCGAACGGGGAGCAGCCCAGAGUCUGAAUCAGCUUGUGUGUUAGUGGAACGGUCUGGAAAGUCCGACGGUACAGGGUGAUAGUCCCGUACACCAAAAUGCACAGGCUGUGAACUCGAAGAGUAGGGCGGGACACGUGGUAUCCUGUCUGAAUAUGGGGGGACCAUCCUCCAAGGCUAAAUACUCCUGACUGACCGAUAGUGAACCAGUACCGUGAGGGAAAGGCGAAAAGAACCCCGGCGAGGGGAGUGAAAAAGAACCUGAAACCGUGUACGUACAAGCAGUGGGAGCCUCUUUAUGGGGUGACUGCGUACCUUUUGUAUAAUGGGUCAGCGACUUAUAUUCUGUAGCAAGGUUAACCGUAUAGGGGAGCCGCAGGGAAACCGAGUCUUAACUGGGCGUUAAGUUGCAGGGUAUAGACCCGAAACCCGGUGAUCUAGCCAUGGGCAGGUUGAAGGUUGGGUAACACUAACUGGAGGACCGAACCGACUAAUGUUGAAAAAUUAGCGGAUGACUUGUGGCUGGGGGUGAAAGGCCAAUCAAACCGGGAGAUAGCUGGUUCUCCCCGAAAGCUAUUUAGGUAGCGCCUCGUGAACUCAUCUUCGGGGGUAGAGCACUGUUUCGGCUAGGGGGUCAUCCCGACUUACCAACCCGAUGCAAACUACGAAUACCGAAGAAUGUUAUCACGGGAGACACACGGCGGGUGCUAACGUCCGUCGUGAAGAGGGAAACAACCCAGACCGCCAGCUAAGGUCCCAAAGUCAUGGUUAAGUGGGAAACGAUGUGGGAAGGCCCAGACAGCCAGGAUGUUGGCUUAGAAGCAGCCAUCAUUUAAAGAAAGCGUAAUAGCUCACUGGUCGAGUCGGCCUGCGCGGAAGAUGUAACGGGGCUAAACCAUGCACCGAAGCUGCGGCAGCGACACUAUGUGUUGUUGGGUAGGGGAGCGUUCUGUAAGCCUGUGAAGGUGGCCUGUGAGGGCUGCUGGAGGUAUCAGAAGUGCGAAUGCUGACAUAAGUAACGAUAAAGCGGGUGAAAAGCCCGCUCGCCGGAAGACCAAGGGUUCCUGUCCAACGUUAAUCGGGGCAGGGUGAGUCGACCCCUAAGGCGAGGCCGAAAGGCGUAGUCGAUGGGAAACAGGUUAAUAUUCCUGUACUUGGUGUUACUGCGAAGGGGGGACGGAGAAGGCUAUGUCAUCCGGGCGACGGUUGUCCCGGUUUAAGCAUGUAGGCUGGUUAUCCAGGCAAAUCCGGAUAAUCAAGGCUGAGGUGUGAUGACGAGGUACCACGGUACUGAAGUGACAGAUGCCCUGCUUCCAGGAAAAGCCUCUAAGCAUCAGGUAACAUCAAAUCGUACCCCAAACCGACACAGGUGGUCAGGUAGAGAAUACCAAGGCGCUUGAGAGAACUCGGGUGAAGGAACUAGGCAAAAUGGUGCCGUAACUUCGGGAGAAGGCACGCUGGUGUGUAGGUGAAGUCCCUGCGGACGGAGCUGAGACCAGUCGAAGAUACCAGCUGGCUGCAACUGUUUAUUAAAAACACAGCACUGUGCAAACACGAAAGUGGACGUAUACGGUGUGACGCCUGCCCGGUGCCGGAAGGUUAAUUGAUGGGGUUAUCCGUAAGGAGAAGCUCUUGAUCGAAGCCCCGGUAAACGGCGGCCGUAACUAUAACGGUCCUAAGGUAGCGAAAUUCCUUGUCGGGUAAGUUCCGACCUGCACGAAUGGCGUAAUGAUGGCCAGGCUGUCUCCACCCGAGACUCAGUGAAAUUGAACUCGCUGUGAAGAUGCAGUGUACCCGCGGCAAGACGGAAAGACCCCGUGAACCUUUACUAUAGCUUGACACUGAACAUUGAGCCUUGAUGUGUAGGAUAGGUGGGAGGCUUUGAAGCGUGGACGCCAGUCUGCGUGGAGCCAACCUUGAAAUACCACCCUUUAAUGUUUGAUGUUCUAACGUUGGCCCCUUAUCGGGGUUGCGGACAGUGUCUGGUGGGUAGUUUGACUGGGGCGGUCUCCUCCCAAAGCGUAACGGAGGAGCACGAAGGUUAGCUAAUCCUGGUCGGACAUCAGGAGGUUAGUGCAAUGGCAUAAGCUAGCUUGACUGCGAGCGUGACGGCGCGAGCAGGUGCGAAAGCAGGUCAUAGUGAUCCGGUGGUUCUGAAUGGAAGGGCCAUCGCUCAACGGAUAAAAGGUACUCCGGGGAUAACAGGCUGAUACCGCCCAAGAGUUCAUAUCGACGGCGGUGUUUGGCACCUCGAUGUCGGCUCAUCACAUCCUGGGGCUGAAGUAGGUCCCAAGGGUAUGGCUGUUCGCCAUUUAAAGUGGUACGCGAGCUGGGUUUAGAACGUCGUGAGACAGUUCGGUCCCUAUCUGCCGUGGGCGCUGGAGAAUUGAGGGGGGCUGCUCCUAGUACGAGAGGACCGGAGUGGACGCAUCACUGGUGUUCGGGUUGUCAUGCCAAUGGCACUGCCCGGUAGCUAAAUGCGGAAGAGAUAAGUGCUGAAAGCAUCUAAGCACGAAACUUGCCCCGAGAUGAGUUCUCCCUGAGACUAUAAGUCUCCUGAAGGAACGUUGAAGACGACGACGUUGAUAGGCCGGGUGUGUAAGCGCAGCGAUGCGUUGAGCUAACCGGUACUAAUGAACCGUGAGGCUUAACCUUACAACGCCGAAG
rnacentral:rRNA from 1 species